rnacentral:rRNA from 1 species
UACGUAGGGUGCAAGCGUUGUCCGGAAUUAUUGGGCGGAAAGAGCUCGUAGGCGGUUUGUCGCGUCGAAUGUGAAAACCCGGGGCUCAACCCCGGGCCUGCAUUCGAUACGGGCAGACUAGAGUUCGGUAGGGGAGUCUGGAAUUCUCGGUGUAGCGGUGAAAUGCGUAGAUAUCGAGAGGAACACCUGCGGCGAAGGCGGGUAGCUGGGCCGACACUGACGCUGAGGCGCGAAAGCCAGGGGAGCGAACGGG